rnacentral:rRNA from 1 species
AGCGAACGUUUGCGGCGGGCCUAACACAUGCAAGUCGAACGAGAUCUCGGGCUUCGGUCCGGGUGAAAGUGGCGCACGGGUGCGUAACACGUGGGUAAUCAACCCUCUGGAUCGGGACAACCCGGGGAAACUCGGGCUAAUACCGGAUACGUCGUCGGAGCUCUAGGGCUCUGACGGGAAAGGCCUGCAAGGGCUACCAGAGGACGAGUUCGCGGCCCAUCAGCUAGUUGGUGAGGUAAUGGCUCACCAAGGCGAAGACGGGUAGCUGGUCUGAGAGGAUGAUCAGCCACACUGGAACUGAGACACGGUCCAGACUCCUACGGGAGGCAGCAGUGGGGAAUAUUGCGCAAUGGGCGAAAGCCUGACGCAGCCACGCCGCGUGUGCGAUGAAGGUCUUCGGAUCGUAAAGCACUGUGGGGGGAGAAGAACAAAGCUGGUGAAGAGCCAGCCCUGACGGUAUCCCCUUAGCAAGCACCGGCUAACUCCGUGCCAG